UGUCCAAGUAACGCUCCCCACGGGCGAUUUGCGACCCCCCCCCCAGGGCAGCCUGCCCCUCUGUGGGGAGCGGAACUGGCCCGCUCUGGGGACGGGGACUCCGCACUCCCGGCCCCCCCGUGGCUGUGGGACGGGCUUGCCUCAGCGCCAGGCGGGGUAAAGCCGCCCCCACAAAGGAGAAGUCCAGGAAAGCCAGACAUACCAAGGUCCUGCAGAACUGCUGAUUAAGGCUCAGGUUGGCUACCCCUGCUCGAGUCCUUACUGCGGGUACCCUUCUUUGAACACUAGAGAAGGCUACCGUGGCCCUGAUCUUACAAACAAGUAAGUAGGAGGUUGGAACAUUAGGUGUGGUAGAGUUUUGCAACAGAAUCUUAAGAGCAUGUGUAUGCCCACUUCAGUCACAGGGUAGCUGGUCUCUGUGGACAGACACAGCCAGGCUCCCCUGGAAAUUCAGCUAAUUAAAGAGGACUGGGCUACACCUGGGCCUACAAAGGGCUGCUAGCGGGCAUCUGAAGGAAGGACUGAGACAGACUGAACCCUGCACUGGCAGAGGAAGCUGUACUGGAGUGGAGCUAACUUCUGUGGCAGCCCCUAGAGCAAGAGGCCAGGGAAACAGUCCUGUGUCUGCUGCUCCAAGUGGGGAGUAGAGCUGAGUGAAGCUGGAAGGCUGCCAGGAGCUGGAAUGCCGCCAGAGACCCCUGGAAGAGGUGGCCCUGAAGCCUGGAACCAAGAACUGGGUUAAGACACAGUUUUCUGUUAAUUUCCUAAACUCGGUUAUGAAAAAUAAACCUCCUUGACUGAGA